UUUAAAAUGCCAAUCCAAAAAUCUGAACUAUUUCACUAUCACAGAAGUAGCAUCUUGCUUUCAAAGCCAACCCAGGCUAAAUGUCACUGAGGCAGGUACCAGGAAAUAUCCACUUAUAAGAAACUUACAAUCUGUCCUGUCAUUCAAUACAACACAUAAACAGUUAUCCAGCACCUACUGUGUAUGAAGGCACUAGACUAGGCACUAGGUUACAAAGACAGAACCAAACUCCCUUGCCCUCAAGAAGCUUAUAUUCUGCUGACACAGCUACAGACCCAUGCAAUAGUGAACAAGGCAGUACAUGUAAGAUAACGUGCUGCCAUAUCAGCCAUAGGUGCAAAAAGAAAAAAAUGAACUUGAGCUAAAAACAAGAUGAACUGCAUUUUCAGACAACUUAUUAACGUAUUCCUUACCACUCUGCUCACCACGCUUUAAGAAGGCUAGUAACAAGCUAGAAGCCCCAGUGGGAUGAUUCAUCCCAGGAAGGGAUGAUUCCCCCUGGCCAAGGACUUACAGCCAUGCCAUAGGAGGGUUUGUGGAAUGACCCAGCAGCCAUCAGACUAGAGAGGACUGUGUGAUCUCUGCCGUGCAGAAGGGGAAUCAGACUUGCUCCACUUGCCUAUGAGAGGCACAAUGAGGCAAAUGGAUAAAGAAUCCAGUGGUAGAUUUUGGCUGAAUAUACAGAAAAAUUUCCGAACAAUUACAAAGCUGAAAAAAAUGAAAUAUGAAGCCUUGGGGUUUAGAAGAUGAUGUUAUCACUGGAGUUAUCCUAGGUGAGACUGCAGAUGUAGACAUUUAAUUUUUGCUUAAGUUGAACUAGAUCAUCCAAGGUACUAAAAUGUAUAUUUAUGGGAGAUGGAGGGAGAGGUGGGGGCAGGGUACAGGAAAGGAAGAAAAGUGUUCUAGGUCAAGCCUUGAAAACCUCACAGGGAAGUUCAGACCUGUGAUAGUCAAUAGGGAGUUACUGUAUGUUCUUUGAACAGGGGAAUGAAAUGAUGAAAUGACAAAAGCAUACAGGAUGGGAGUGAAGGUGAGGGUGUGGCAGAAAGGGAUUUAGAAAGAUUAAGAACAAUAAUCCAUAUAUAAUAUGAUGGGAGAGCAGGCUGGGGUGCAAAUGGAUGCAGAUUCAUCCAGGCACUGAGGGAAGAACAAAAACAGGGCAAAUGGCCCAUAUGAUGAGCAAAAGGGAAGAGUCUUGUAACUCCAAGGUUCUUGGGAGGAGAGGAGAGUGGCACAAUUAGACAAACUGUGGAUUGCAGGGGAAGGAGCACUAGUGGGAGGAAUGGAAUGUAUCUGCUGGGCUCUGGUCAAAGGCAAGCAGAAGCUUCUUUCCAAUUUUACCUUUCACUUCUCUCUCCUCUAGACAGUCUGUUCAAUUCCCUUUCCUAUCCACAAAGGCAGGGAUUAAUUAACAGGUUUUGGAUCAGGCCAUGAUUUCCUCUAUUUUCAUGUCAUCACCCUUAAUCACAUUCUUCUUUGCUCCAGAUGAGGCUCAGGACAGAAUCUGCUUCUCACCACUACGAGUGAAAUCCCUUAACCACCCCCAAGGACUGUUUCCUCAUCUGGAAAACAAGAGAGUUGAACAAGAUGACCCAGAGGUGUCCUCCAGCUCCAGGUCUAUGAUCUGAGGAUGUCCACAAAGCUUAAUGUUACCAUGGCCACACCUCUACUGAAGGUGCCUUGGCCUUUUGUCUUCCUUUGGAUCCUCAGUGUUUAGCACAAUGCCUGGUUGGUUAGUUGUCUGUCCUUCGUUUUCAAAGAGGAACAAUGACAUCAUGAGACCACCUCCCCAGAAACAUCACUUAGCAGCUGAGAGCAUGGACUGCAGUGGGCAGAGACCUGAGGCUGGAUUGCCAGUUACAAGGCUGUUUCUAUGGAGCAGGUAUCCUCUGAGUAUGGUCGCCCAUCACCUUUAUGAUGGACAGCUGUAACCUUCUCAUUGGUCUCUCUGCUUCAGUCUUGCCCUCCCCUAUCUAAUCUAGCUUUCACAUAGCUGCCUGAAUAAUCUUCCUAGGACACAAGUCUGACCACACUGCUCCAAGUUAAAGCCUUUGGUUGCUCCCCAUUGCCUCGAGGGUAUCUACAAACUCCUUUGCCUGGCACAUGAGCCCCUCACCACAACGAGCAGACAGCUUUCUCCUUCAGCUUUAGCUCCCGGGAUAUCCUUUCACAGGCUGUAUUGCAACCCAGCAGGGGUACCUGCUAUUCCCAGACGUCAGAAUGCCAACCCCAUUCAUUCACACAAGCCACCCUACAAGGCCAAAGUGCAUUCCAAAAUCCUUGUCCUCCUCAAGGCUCGUCUCAGAUGCCACCUGCUCAUGAGUCUCCUCAACUGUUUCCAUAACUCUUCAUCAGAUCUUCUGCCCUUAUCAGUCUUGCCUGGUACUAUACCUGUAUACACAGGAUAACAGGCACACUACUGGAAGGAACAUGAGAAGCCACCUACUCAAACAACCUCACUUUAUGGAUGAGGAAACUUGGAUCCAGAGAAGAAAAGUGACUUGGUCAUGGUGUCACAGGUGGAAAGCACUGGAGGCAGCAUUUGAACUCAGGUCAUCUAACUCCAGAGCCAGUUUGUUUUCCAUUACACCAAGACCUCCCAUGCUGCAUGCCUCACGGUAGGUAUUAUACCUACCCUCAAGGGCAGGUAUUUUUGUUUUUGUGACCCCCAGUACCUUUCACAGCUGCCUUGUACAUAGUAGGUCCUCAAUAAAUGUCUGCCAAAUUGAACAAAACUAUAAGGUUGGGGCCUGUGGACUUCUAAGGGUUUGCGUCUAGUUUUAUGUUUAGGACGAUUCUGUUCAAAUCAAACCUUAAAAAGGUUUCUGUUCU